AAUAUGUACAGUGAAAAAGGAGCUACAUUCUAGUCUAUUCUCACUGGAUCACUUCAGAAGACAUUGAUUAAACCACUGGCGUCUUAUGGAUUUCUUUUAUGCUGACUUAUGCUGACAGCAGAAGAAAGAAAGUCAUACACAUCUGGGAUGGCAUGAGAUGCAGGCCUGAAUACGGCCCAACUGGCGGGCAUAAUUUCUAAAGUAGUCAAUUGGAAUUGACGAGGAGCACAUGGACAUUGUAGAAGUUAAACAAGGUUGAACAUGUGUGCCUCAAGUUCCUUGAAUGCAGAACCACCAUGGAGUUCCAGAACCUUUGUGGAGACCCUGGAUUUAAAUUUGGUGUCAAAUUCAGAGAUGGGCCUUGCUGAACGUCACUUUGCCGAAAUGCCAGCAUAUCAGAAGGUGUUGCCUCCAGUACCACUGUGUUAACCAGUGGAGAACAGUUGCCACUAGCUCUGAUGGCAUGUCUUGCUACCAUUCUUUUGAAAGCUGACUUAAAUUGCCUUGCUGUGGGAUUGUUGUUAAAUCCAUUAGCAGAUCUGUCCCCAUAAAUCUUCAAAUUGUUAUUGUAUUGUUCAGUUUAAUAGUCAAUUUUUGUGUAUACAUGGAAGCUUCUGUUAUUGAACAAAUAUAUAUGUAUGAUUUUCUUGAGUGUGCAUAAAUGUCAAUA